rnacentral:lncRNA from 1 species
GGAUAUAAUUCUUCUUUCCCCUCAUCUACUAAUUUAAAGAAUCUUUUGCAUCUUCCGAUUGUCCAUCCUUCUCUCAUUUAUGUCUCGAAUCAUCCUCGGCAUUUCAAAAUGUAUCAUGAAGUAAUCCAUCAAUAUCAUCAUACAUGUCAGAACCAUCAUCAUUACUGCUUGGGAAUAGAGUCUUUCUCGAGAAAAAUCCUUCCCCAUGGAAAAUCCAUUUGUUG